rnacentral:tRNA from 1 species
GGGUUUGAAGCUCAAGUGGUCGAGCAGCCGCCUUUUAAGCGGAAGGAAGUGAGUUCGAUCCUCACCAGACCCA